ensembl:snRNA U6 U6 spliceosomal RNA
GUGCUCGCUUCUGUAGCAGCAUAUAUACUAGAAUUGGAAUGCUACAGAGAAGAUUAUCAUGGCCCCUGCACAAGGAUGACAUGCAAAUUUGUGAAGCCUUCCACAUAUAU